rnacentral:lncRNA from 1 species
CCCAGAGAAAAGUUCUGUGUGGAUGUUGACUAGAAGAGACAUGAAAUACAAAACCAGAAAAACCUAAAAGUCUCCUAUUGUACAUUGUAGUUUACCUCCAGACCACCAGGGGGUGCAUGGGUUUUGGUCAAAGACUUGGGCUGUGCUGGAGUAAGGUUGAGGGAAUUUUUUCCAGGUCUGUGUAGGGCAGGUGAGGAAGUGGUUGUGCAGCCUCUUUCUAUGAGCCAUGGGAAUUAACCCUUUGACUGGCAGAGUGGGAUAUGUCUUGUCUGAUUUUGGAUGCUGUCGGCGGCCACUGUUAUUAAGACACCGUCAAGAUAGAACAUUAAGCAAAUGUGCUUAUUUUUGGUUACUGAUGCCUUCGUUUGAGCAGGUUUCUGAUGCUUUCUUCUGUGUUUCCUUUCAGGCCCCAUCCCUGGUCCAGGGCAAAGCCUGCAAAAACGGAGUAUGAGAAAGAUUCACAAGUCAUUCUCAACUUUGCCAUCAGUGAUGACCUCACAGAGAAGGCCAGAUACCUUGGUGUACAGAAAGAAUCACAAAUGGCACCGAAAUUCCUAGAAGCAAGGCUCCAUCUUGCAUUUGUUGCUUUUGUCUGUUCGGUUUUAAGGUUGAGAGCAGAUGGCCUGGCUGCAUCAGUAACAAAUGAAGUCAGAGCUGACUAGGGAAAAGAGCUGCAGAGCCAAGAGGGGAGGGAAGCUGAGCUAAUAUCCCCCACCCUACAUCUCUCUGGGGCACUAUUACUGCAAAUAUAGCCUCCCUCCAGCCCCCACCGAGCCACCUGGAGGAGAGCAUGUAAAAAUAGAACUUUCUGGACUGCAUCCCAGCGUGAACAUCUGGACCUCCAGUCUUGCUCCGCUUGCAUUUUGAACGGAGUUCCCACGUGAUGUCUUAUGGAUAAACAUGGCCUGUGGAAGGAGAGGUAAGCCUCCUGGGGUGUGUGGGAGGGGAGACCGCUGCUCAGGGUGAUACUGUUGCAUCAGGCUUCAAGCAACACAUCCCAGGGAGGCUGCCCUGUGUAAAGCUAAGUGACCAGAAUCCGGACCUGAGGGGCUAGGGAGGAGGUGUGAGAUGUUCAAAGCUAGAGUGUGAGCAACAUGAGGAGCCAUCAGCAGGGCUAACCUGGUCUAUCCAGCGAGUUCCAGGCCAUUGAGAGAAGCAGCGGAGAGAACCUGGAGGAAAACUUAGCAGUGCAUAGGCAACUGGAGUACAAAGGAUGGAGACCUCUAGGUUGUUUGCACAUCUGGAGCAUGUGUUACAUCCAUACACGCUGUUACCUAUGGGCGUGAUGCUAGGCAGGGUAGCAGUGUUCCAGUCCUCCCCACUUCCCCCUGGCUUCUCUCAGAUGCUCAGGCUCGAUCUAUGCGCCCCACCCUCCACUCCACUCCCCUGUCUCCCUUGCCUGCGCUCUACUUGUCGUAGUCUCUCAAGGACCCCGGUUGAAGAAGAUUAAUCUCCACACUUGUUCCCAAGGAUUUUUGUGGCAGGAAAAGACAAUGUGAACAACGGGCUAUAGGUUCUGUUUUCGGGUUCUCCAGAGAAACAGAACCAAUGGGCAGUGUGUGUGGGGGGUGUUUGUGACUGUUCGGAAAGAAAGAGAAAUAGAGAUAGAAAGGCAGAACCAAAAAUUUCUCUGGCCCACACAUUUGUGGGGGUUGAACAGAUAUGAAAUCGACAGCGUAGGCGAGGCCAGGAGGCUGGAGACCAGAGAAGAACUAACAUGACAGCUUGAGUUUGAAGGCAGUCCCGAAGCAAGAAUUUCUUCCUUAGGGGAUCACGGUGCUUAUCCCGUAUGAUUCUCAGUGGAUCAGACGAAGCCUACUCACGUUUUAGAGGAUAAUGUUUUAUUCAGAGUCUCCUGAUCUAAAUAUCAAACACAUCAAAAGCGAGUUCGCUUCUUGAUCAGAAGUGGGAUACUCUAGCUCAGCCCAAAUGAGACACAAACCGACCAUCACAGGCUCUUCCGUUCAGUCUGCCCAGGAUACAGCUCAGUUUUGCUUAAAUGCAACUGGCCAAACCAUAUCACAUAUACUCGUGUCACUUCCAGAGGACACGAACACGUAAAGCAGGACAGCAGAAUAUUUGAUGACAGUCCUAAAUGGCUGUCACACUCAUCUCACUGGGGUGGUGGGACCGUGUUCUAAGCUAAUUCAGAUCUUUUUUCCCCUGGGCUCCCUUUGUGAGGAUCAUGGGAGGGCAUCUGGACCUCAUUUGCCAUCUCUUCAGUGAAGAUGCAAGCAGACUGGCAUUCUUUCCAAGCGCCUCAGGGCCCAUCUUCCUGAUUUCAACCCAAAACAGGACUGUUCCUGGAUUAACUGCUGAUGAAAUCACACAACGUGAAGAGAGUGUUAAUGGAGACAGCAAGACCGGUCCACUGUGGGUGGAACCAUCCCCUGGCUUGGGAUCUGCACUGCAUGAAAAGGAGAAAAGGAGCUGAGAACCAGUGUCCACCGCUCUCUGCUUCCUGGAUGCCAUGUGACCGGUUGUUUCAAGCUCCUGAUGCUGUGACUUCCCCACAAUGAUGCAUUACAACUUUGAACUCUGUGCCAAAGAAAACUCUUCUUUCCCAAGUUGCUUCUGUCUGAGUAUUUUAUCCCAGCAACAGAAUGCUGCAGCACUUGGGAGAGCCAGCCCUACCUCUUGUCUGCUGUGUGUGGUGUGGAUGAGGGGAGAGGCCCUCCUUCCCUCCAUCACCCCUUGCCACCUGCGGCAUGUGGAAGAGUUGGUCCCAGGGUCACGAGAGUGGCCCUGUCCCUCAUCAGCUGCAAUACUGAACACUUGACCCCUCCC